rnacentral:rRNA from 1 species
UACGGAGGGUGCAAGCGUUAUCCGGAUUUACUGGGUUUAAAGGGUGCGUAGGUGGAUUGGUAAGUCAGUGGUGAAAUACUUUCGCUUAACGAAGGAACUGCCAUUGAUACUACCAGUCUUGAAUACAGUGGAGGUAGGCGGAAUGCGUCAUGUAGCGGUGAAAUGCUUAGAUAUGACGCAGAACACCAAUUGCGAAGGCAGCUUGCUACACUGUUAUUGACACUGAGGCACGAAAAGCGUGGGGGAUCAAACAGG